CUGCCCCUGCCCCUGCAUCUUGGCUGGCUCAUGUCACACUCCGCAAAGCCUGCUAAAGCAGGUGUGACUUGAUCCAAGCUAAUGUUAGGCUUGGAAUGGUGAAGAGCAAUAUUUAUUUCAGCAGUGGAAUUAAGGCCCAGUCUGUAUAUGUUGCAGAAUGAGAUGUCAGAACGUGGGAGGAGGUUGUCAUUUUUGUUUAUGUUCAUCUAUGUGGCAUAAAGACCCCCAAAGCCCUCAAUCUGUGAGUGUAAAAAAUAGUGUAUGUGCAAAUAGUGUGUGUGCACCACAGAGCAAGGUUAAAACUUAGCCUGUUUCCUUCCUUUGGUAGAUCUUUCUUUCUUUUUUAACAGUGAGACUUUAUGUGAGGGGACAAUCUGAAAAACAACAAUCACCCCUCUCUGCUGUUUGAAGUACAGAGUACCGUUCUGUUUAGUUGUUCUGCUUUGUGUAGACCUGAUUUCACCCACAGACUACACACAGGCUAACGGGGAAUCAUAGCUGAGUUUCUACAGUUGUGAUAUGUUUCUAUAAUGUGCAUCUGGGUGGUGGCUCAGGUAGGUGUUGGGAAGGGAUGAUGCUCAAAUUUCUCCAAUAUGGACUGUACUGAUUACCCUAAGCCAUGAGCACCCUUUCAAACAAAUCUGUUUUCUGGCUACAUUUCUAGAGCAUAAUCCUUCCAAACACUGUACUAGCUGCUUUGUACCUUCCUGAUAAAAGUGUAAUCACACCACAUAUUCUUCCUUGGGAAGAAUAACCAUUACAUUGAGAGGCUCAAAGGCAACUAUUCACAUCUAGCUUUUCUUACCAUUUCACUUGCCUCUGACAUAGGAAGGGCCGCUUCCGAAUUAUUAGCGGGUUUGGGGGGCCUUGGCAGUCCCUUCAGAUUAGGAAGGCAAGGAUAUUCUUGAGCCUAUGUAUCUAUGCGUGCACACACAUGUAUGCAUGUAUAUGCGGCUGCUUAGAUUCCAUGUCCAUCUUCAGCCAAGAUAUCACAGGGGACAUCUAUUACUUCAACUUUGCCAAUGGUCAGUCAACGUGGGAACAUCCAUGUGAUGAGCGCUACCGACAGCUUGUGGUCCAGGAGAGGGAGAAGCUCCUGGAUCAGGGAGGUCUCAAGAAGAAAGAGAAGAAGAAGAAAAAGGAGAAGAAAGAGAAGAAAGAGAAAAAAGAAAAAGACCUGCUGAAACAUCCAGUUGCCAAGCAAGUCCUGAGCUGGAGCAGCAGGGCAGCUUCAUGACAAGGAAUGAACUCUUCCUGAAGAACCGCAAAGGAAAGGCUUCAGGGAUGUCUCCUGAUCCAAGUGACCCACCCCGGCUGCACUCGGGUCCUGUCCCUAGUAAGCUGCAACCUAUUCUGCCAGCCAAGUCAACCCCACGGACUCGCCAGAUCCUAGCAGACGUGGAGAAGAUUCUUGGAAGAGCUUCAUCUUCUAGCAAACCAGACCAGUCAUGCCAAGAUGUGACAGCAGAAAUCAGAAGUACAGCUGCUUGUGUUUUUUCAGAUUCGGAACCUGAUUUAGAUGGCUCCAAGAUUGCUGUGCCACUUUUCCAAGCACUGAAGGAACCCACUGGUGAUGGGACUGUGCUAGCCCUGGAGGCAACGAAGGUGAGAAACCUGUUCUUGGAGGGUGACAUCCUAGGCAAGGACCAAGAGAAUAGUUACAUGGAAGAAGGUGGCCUCUGCCAGUCACCUGAUUCUUCACCCGGAGAGCGGGUGAUUGGGCCUUUCAGCUGCAUAGGACGGGACAGAGGAUUCUUGCAUACAAUUGAAAGGGAAAUUCAGCGGUUUCCUCCUGCUGCUGUUUCCCUUGUGUUGGCUGGUGAGACAUACGAGCCCAACAUCAUGGAAGAAGGUAACAUCCAUUCUCUGCAGAACGACCCAAGGCCUUUCUCUAAAGUGAAGGAGAGCAGAAAGGGAAGGAAAUUCCAAGAACAGUGUCAUGCCACAGAGCUCAGCAUGAGUGGAAGAGGGGGCACCCAGCAGCAGACUUCUGCCUUUGGGCUGGGAGCAGGGACUGGAACGGGUGGGGAGGCUAGUCCUCUGCUGGCUGCUGCAGGUUUGUCAGUUCAGCUCAGGGGUGAAAGGAAACAUGGUGAGAGGCUGCACUCUGGUGGUGGUGGCGGCAGUGGUGGCGGCAGUGUGACAAGCAGUUUGGCUGAACAUCUUGAUUCUGAGAUCUUGGGAGAAGUUGACAACUUCUCCUGGGACCUACAGAGCACUCAUGGAUCUGACCGCCCCAUGGGCCUUCUGGCUGUUGCCAAAAGAACUUUCUUGGAAGCUUCCCAUACCCAACCACAGAGCAUCCCUAAUGACCGAUCGGAAAGCGAGUGCUACACAGAGGAUCAGAAGUUUUAUCAGCAUAUGGUCCAUAUGGUGAAGAGGUCCAGAGGAGCAGAGCUGACUGUACCUGAACUGCACAAGCAACAGCAAAGUGGCUCUGAAGGGUUUGUCACUGGCCUGAACAUGGAGCUUUACAUUCCUCAGGAAGGGGCUGCGGAAGCUGAGACGAGGCCUAGGCCAGGAGCUGCAGGCUUUAAGGCAGGGGUACUCCAGAGUGCAAUCGAGGGUCAGGUGUUCUUCAUUCAAAAUAGGCAGGCAGAAGGAGAGCAAGUGCAGAGCAGAACACUGGCAAAGAAAGACAGCUGGCCUGAGCUUUCACCAGGAGGAGAUGGAGGUGAAGAGUCUCCAGGACCUAUACUAGCCCCUGUCCAGUCUCCCCUGGGGAGCCUUGCUCCAUUACGUGGGUUUGUGGAUGCUCCAGUCAGUGCACCCUGCAACUUACACAAUACAAAUGGGAGAAGUGCCAUGGAACCGAAGGAACCAGCACAUACUAUCACAAUGCUUGGCAGUUGCAAGAAAAGUCUGUUUCAAUGUGUGGACGAAGAAGAGGAAGCAUCCUUAAACCAGCUGACUCCUAAUGGGGCAGAAAAGGAAGAUUGCAGCAAUGAGAGUCCUCGUGGGACAGGUGGGCUUCUCAAGAACCUGCAUAUGGAUGUUAGUGCCCUUGGUGCCAGCUUUGAGAAUGAGGUUUCUGAAGGCAGCAAUCUAAUGAAGGAAUGGCAGGUUUCUGACCACUUGGACCCUGAGCCACAUAGUGCUGUGAGCCCAAGCUUUGAAAACAUGGAUGUGUUGCCUCCAGUCCUGGGAACUCCAAAGUUUGCAGUGAGCAGAGCCAUGGUGGAAAGCACUUGGAAGGAACAGACUAAUGACUGGUCAGGACAGGAGGAGGACCAAAGCAAAGGCAGCCUAGCAGAGGAGAAAAGCCAAGGAUCAGCUAAGAGGGAGAGGAGCAAAAGCUGCCCGAGUGGUUCUGAAGGGUCUGAAAAGAAGGCAGUCUCGGUAGGUUCUGGCGCCUUGGAAAUGAAGAUGAGAAUUGAGCACCAGCUGGUGAACCUGAAGGAGCGAGACCCAUCCUGCAAAGAGAAUUUUGAGGCUGAGGGUAAGCAAAUGUCCUGGGAAAAGCAUGCUGGGGAUUCCCUUGAGGAAAUAACCACAAUGCAUCACACUUUGCUGGAACAAGCAAAAAUACAUUUGCUGCAAGAAAAACAGACUCGAAUGCAGCAGCUGCAGGAAGAACUACAGCAAGAAGAGGAGCAGGAGAUCCAGAUGCUCCACCAGCAGAAAAAGAAUGCCCUCCAAUCAUUAAAAGCUGAGUUGGAGGCUGCGAGGCAGAAGGAGGAGGAGCGCUUGAGGAAGGAGAUGCAAGACGAACUUCUGAAACUCCAAACCCAGAUCUAUUCUGAAGCAGAGGCAGAGAAGGCGAGGAUCAGGCUGGCCCAGGAGGCUGCUCUGCAGAAGCUCAGAGAGGAGCUGGAAUCCUUUCAUCAGUCUGAAGAGGAUGAACUGAAGGCGCAGAUGCAGCUUUCUCUGGAAAGGGUGAAGAAGGAAGCAGAAGCUGUUGAGCAGGCAGAACAAAUGGAAGUGGAGGAGGAGAUCAAGAGAGCCUUCAACGAGCUGAAGAAGAGGCUGGCCAGAGAAAAUGAAAUGGCUAUGCAGGAACUAAAGGAGCAGUUCGCAGAAGAGAUUCGGCUGCAGAAAUCUGCAGCAAAAGAAGAACACGAAAAGGUUGUCUCCACUCUCCAGAUGCAGAUAACAGAAGCCCAGAAAAGGGAGGAGGAAGAAUUACAGAGGCAAUUGGAGAGUGCAGAGCAAAAUGUUCAGCAGAAGAGGAAUCAGGUGGCCGAGUAUGAGCGAGAGCUUAGUGACCUCCUGAAGGAGAAGCGCCAGGAAGUUGAGCGCAACCAUGCAAGGCAGCUGGAAAAGAUGCAAGAGGCACACAGGGAAACCAUAGCCGAGAUCCAGGCACAAAACGAGGAUGAGGAGAGGAAGCAGAGGACUGAGCUGCUGGCAAUUCUGCAAAGUGAAAAGGAGCGUUUGGAGCUGCACCAUAAAGCAGAGCUUGAUGCCUUGCAGAAAAAGCAGGCUGAACAGUUGAAGGACUUGCACAAGAGUCAUUUGGACCAGGAGCAAAAGGUCCACAGCAUGAAAUCAGAACUGGAGCUCCAAGCCAAGGAUAUGGAGGCAAGACUCUCUCAGCUCCAUGCCCAGGAGGAGAUCCUGAUGAAGAAAAGGCAGCAGGUGCUGGAGCAAGAAAAGGAGCUGGAGCAAGAAAGAAAUGAAGCAGCUUUGGCAGCUCAGCGCCGCCUUGAGGAAUCCCAAAAAGAGCAGGAGGAUCUUGCAGAGACAACACGGCAGCUGCGUGGGGAUCUGGUGAAGCUUCAGGACCAGAAAUCGGAGCUGGAAUCCCAGGUGGAGAUGCUACAGCUACAGAGUCAGCAGCUGCAGAAGAGGGCCAGUGAGCUGGAGAUAGCCAUCAAGAGCAGGCAAGAGCUGCUGAAUAAGGUGGAGGUGGAAAGCAGCAAGACAUCUCUAGAGAAAAAGGAGGAAGACCUCCGGGUUGAGGACCUGAAAGAGAGUGCCCAAACGCCCUCCCCUGGAGAGAUGUCGACUUCAAAGGGCAAUGAAGAAAGGAGUGUCCUCCUGGAACAGGUGCAGCGCACCAUUUUUACUGAAGGAGCUACCUUGAAGACAGCCAAGGAGUUCUUGGUGCGCAAUACUCGCUCCAUGCACAGAAGGCAAACUGCCUUGAGGGCAGCAAAGCAGCAUUGGCCUUUCGACCCGCAGAAGGCACCAGGGACCGCUCAAGACUUUGGACGCUUCCAGCGGCUGGAUGGCGUACGCAAGAGCCUGGAAACGGAAGAGAAGACGCUGGAUGAGAUGAACUCCACCAUGAAGAAAGGAAAAGGGCUGGUGAAGCAGACUGAGGAAGUGCUGAGCCAGCUGAUGUCCUCGCUGGAAGAGCUCUCUGAUGAAGAUACACUGAAGGGAAUGGCCUGCAAGAAGGUGGUGACCUUUGAUGUCACUGACUCUGAAGACACCAGCGGUGUGAUGAACAUGGAUGAACCUCUCCACAAAGUGGCUGACAUGAAACCGGACCACCAGUUCCUUCCCUUUGAUGAGAUCCAGUACCUGGCCAACUCGCUGCAGCGCCUCACCAGUGACCUGAUGGUUGUCCUCCAGCACCUGAGUUCCUUCUGCAACCAGCCGCUUCCCCUCUUCACUUCCACCCAGGGUCCCGCCUCCACAUUGCCUAGAGAUAGAGUUCCCCUUGCUACCUGUAACCCUCUGGCAGAUUCCCAUUCUGCCACACCGUCUGUACCCAACACUAUCCCCCAGUGGGUCUGGGCUGGCUCAGGUCCCAGUCCCUCUGCUCCGACAGGCCCGUCAGUGGACGCCAUGCUAUUGGAAAAGUGGCGCAAGUAUUUCCCAGGCAGGUUCCCUUUGUCCUGUGGAAGUCCUGGACCUCUGGACGGCACGCUGGGCUACGUGUCACCUGGUGAGCAAGUCCGCCUGCUCCAGCGCCGUGGGACGGAGAAGCCAAACAUCCAGAGCAUGAUCGAAGCCAACAAGAAAUGGCUAGAAAGCUUCAAACAGGAUUCCAGAGUCCCUCUCCUGCCAAGUCCCUCAAAGCCCUUGACCAGCAGCCCUGGUUUGCUGCAGCUCAGACUGGACAAGAGCAACCGACUUGAGGUCUACAACUUCUGAACAACUGGGUGCAGUCAGUCCAGCUGAAAGGCAGUUCCCAGCAGCAAAGACUUGGGAGUUCUCCCUGCUUGACAAUACAUGGCGUUACCCCUGUACAUGGCAGCCUCCUUGCCUGCUUUCUUGAGCCGUGUCCGGGCCAUUGAGCCUGGCUCUUUGAAGAGAAGGGCAGCUGCAGGAGAUUUGCCUGGUCCAAAUGCACAAGACAGGCCAUGAAUUCAGUGGGGGAAACAAAGCAUUAUUAACCAGUAGCUUUCUGGUUGGUCUUCUGUUAACCCAAGGAAGUACCCGGGAGGUGAAGUCACUUUCCUUGAGGGAAGGAGGUGAUGAUUUCUCAGAGGAGGACAGUGCCUGAGAGCAUGAACAGCAAAAUGGCAAAACCUUGAAGCCUUGUGCUGCUUUGCCUGUGCUGCUGCUUCUGCCUCUCCCAGUCCUGAAUGCAACAAUGUCUUCUGGCUAUUGGCUUCUAUUCCAAAAGAUUUUUAUUUGAAGCAAGUCUUGUCUUCCAAAGCUGCAACACACACACACUCACACACAGCCAGCCAGCCCAGAUAUCCUACUUUGGGCUUGGGUGAGCAGUUUGCAACUCUUAUGAGGGUGGAGAGCAGCAGAUGCUGAAGCAGGCAGGAAGAGCUGGUUGCACUUGAAUUUCCUAGUUUGCUGAAUCUUCCAGUUUUCAUUGGGUCUCGCAGGCUCCCUUCCCUGCUCAGGUUUUCUAGCUUUCCAAGCAGCAGAGCUGGCUGGGCAAAUGCUGCUGAGGGUUCCUCCUGUAUUCCCAGCUGGUGCCAGAGCCACAUGUUCUUGUGCUGGAGCCACAAAAUCAGGUGGGCAGCGGCCACAUGUGAACUCCAGUGUACCUUCUGAAAGUAGUGGAAGCUCUUUGCCGAAGCUGCCUCCAGAAAAUUAAAUCUUGUGUGUGUCCCUCUUUGGGGGGGGGGCAGAUGUCUGGCUGCUGUCUUACUUUUGACGUUCCAGCUGGCUCUGGCUUUUAAGGCACUAAGAGGGCAGCAUGCCCCUAGAGCUGGUACUGCAGCAACACCCACGCUCGGCAUGCCCAGAGGCUCCUCUCCAUUCUCUUCCCUCCGUUCCUGACAUUUCUCCAUGCGGAUUUCUGCUGCAAGUUGUCCUGCUACUCUCCUGUGGUUCCUUGACAGCACCUUAUAGCUUUAUGAGGGUCCCCUUCUGGAGUGUACCCAGACAAUAGAAAGGGCUUACAUCCUUGUCUUAUGUCAAAGUGUGUGUUAUGGCAAGAGAACUGGUGUAGGCCGUCAGCUACUGGCUGUAUUUUGUAUACCAAUUAAAUGGACACUUGUACAUCUGUGUUGGUUUUGCCCUUUUUUUCUCCACUGCAUUAGAUCUAGUGGGUACUUGCUCCCCGCUCUGCCCUUUCACCUGGUAUCCCCCAUCCACUCACUGUUUCUUGAGCCUGCCACAUUUCUGUUCUGCGGUCAAUGCAGAAGCCCUCAUGGAGGAGGAUGGUGAUGGAGGAGCAAGUUGCUGUAUCCACAAAUGUCUGAAAAAUGUGAAAUGCACUCAAUAGACAAACCACACUGCCCUUUUGCUGGCUAUGGAAUUCUGCCUUCUGAUAACCCCAUAGAUAGAGAAUCCCUUUAUUGAUAAAAGGUUUUUUACACUUCCUCUGUUUUCAGUGGCAAUACAGCCCCUUGCUCGGAGUGCAAUCCCCGGGAAAGCAAAUAAAAUCACAAGCCUCCCUCUUGACACCUAAUCCCUGAUCUGCGCAUCUACUCCUGCCCAGUGCUCUCCAUGUGUGUCCGAGACAGAGAGUGAAUGGGAACAUGACGCUCUCUGGGCCCUAAGUGUUGGAGAUUAGAGGCUCCCAAGGGCGGCAGGUUUUUCAAAUAGGACAGGCCUUCUCUCUAAGCUCAUUAGGACAUUUGGCAGCAGCUUGCCCUGUUGACGCACCAGGAGUGUGGCUCGUCACGGACUGGCCUGAGGCACGCUGGCCUUCUGUGGAGGGCUUCUUGACUUCUCUCACCAUGCUGGGGACACUGAUGACGGCACUCUAUUUCAUGGUGAAAGCAUUGGGUCAGGUCAGUAUUUCUUUCAUUCUAGAGCAAGGCCUUGGGAAGUAAUGGCAGAAAGCAAAGCAGAAGAUGGCUCCCUUCCCUGUGGUUUAUUUGGGCAUGGGAGGGGGGGGAGUAGUUUUGCUGUGAUGUUGCAAGAAAGGAGUGUGCCGGUUCCAUCCAGCAUGGCAUUCCUGAAAGCUGGAGCUUGAGGCUUCAUUCUAGGACUUCUAUCUAUUGCAAGCUGGGAAUUGCCCAGCAGCACCAUGUGUGUUAUUAGCAGAAGAGCAAGCGGGCAGCUUGAUGUGGGCUGCUGAGGCGGGGGCUCCAGCAGCUGCAGGGCCAUGCCACCUCUUUACUGGAGCUUUUGCACAAACUGCAAGCCUCUGGCUGGCCCAAGCAGCACCUUCCAAGUUGCAGGAAGCAGAGUUUCCCAUCUGGAUGACUUGCUUGGGGGUCCUGGCACUGCCUUGGGGCCCAGCUUCCCUCUUGUGUACAACUCUUGCUAAAUCCUUUGCAGGUGGGCUUGCCUCUGUGGCCCAAGAGGAGGCUCUGCCAGGGAGAGCUCAUUAGGUGCUGGGCAAUUCCUUUGCUGUUAGGAAUUGAUGCUGAAAUUGCAGUCACAUAGAUGGUAGGGCUGCUGCUAUUUUCUACCGCACCAGGAGAUUUAUGGGGUGGUCUUUGUGGUUGCUUUGUCUUCUGAAACAUGGGGGCCCCUUGUGAUAGUGACUUCUGUAAAUGGAUAAAAGUGUAGGGGGUAUGUUGGAGGGGAAGGGACAAGGUGGAGCCCUGGCUUCGCCUAAUAUGAACCUGUACUCUUCUGCCUUCUGCCCAGCUUGGCGACAGCCUGUUCCAGGAGGAGCCGCUGCCCUACCUUGUCCACCAGCCCUUGCCGUGGCAGGUCCAGUGUGUGACUCCAGGUCGCCGUUGCAGCAGAGACAGUGGGAAAGGUGGGUGUUCUCGGCACAACAGUACCUACGGGGUCGCAGGACGAAGAGGUGACUCCAGCCCUGUAUCCAGCAGCAGGAGCGAGGAAGUGAGUGAUCCAGCCGAGAGGGCAGCUGUGACCAUCCAGACUCAGUAUCGUAAAUAUCACCAACACAAGCGUGGAAAGUAGAAGCCAGCUUCCACCAUAUUUGGAAGCAAGAGAAGCAUGGGUUUUGGAGAAAGGGGUGGGUGGGACAAAAGGGGAAAAGACCCUUGUGUGCUAGUAAAGCCUGUCUUUACUCAACUUUUGGACAGCUUUUCUGUAUAGCCGCGUGUCUUGGAAGUUUUCUGCCGUCCUCUAAAAAUGCGUUGCAGUCUCUAAAUCACAUAUGAGGGCCCCUGACCACUUUGUGAGUAAGACAACUGCUGGAUGGGGAGGGCCUUGUGCCGCAUUUGCUUAUGGCUUUCUAGGUGGGGUUUUAAUGCAAAUUGGUGCUUAGGUGCAGAGCUUUGGUUAAUGAUGGGCUACAGCGCAGUGAUAGAAGAGGCUAAAUGUUUACCCUCCUUGAGUGGAGGAUGGCAGAGCGCCACAUCUGGGGCAGGAGGUUGGCCCUCAACUAAGGGAAACUCUUCUAAACUUGGUUUUUGGAACAUAGCCCUGUUCAGUUUAACACUGUCUUGCACCACUGCCAUCUUGUUGUGUGUAAACCUUCAUGCCCCAUGAAACUUGGUUACUAGUAAGCAGGACUAGCUUAAUAGAGUUUAGGUGCCUGCUGUAUAAACUCCCAGCUAUCCUCCCCCCUCCCCCAAGUAACUUCUGUAGAAAUAAAAAACCAAGACUGAUGGUCCUUUGCCCUUUAUUGGCACCUGCCCAUCAGAAGAGCUGGCUCUAUUUCCAGGAAGCAAAUAAUGGCAUGUUGCCUCUUUGUGCUGUAUAGCUAGCCUGUUUAGACAAGCUGGAUUUUACUUGCUUUGUAUCUUAGAAAGGGAAACAGCAUUUUUAAGGCAGGUGGAAUUUAAUCUGAGCUUUUGAAUAGUUGGUAAUGUUUAAGAGAAGGUGUUUGUAUAAAACUACGAACAGCUUCAUGUGUUCACAUGCUAGCUUCAUGCAAUGACAUGCCCUGCCUUUUUAAUAACUGCAGGUAAAGAACUACAGGGCGUACCUCUGGGUUAAGUAAACUCUAGAACAGCGAGAGCUCUUAUGCUAUAGUG